rnacentral:ncRNA from 1 species
UGAAAGUUUGAAAAUUUGAUAAAUUUUUUUUUAGUUUGUAUGAUAAAUGUAUAGUUUAGUUAUAUGUAAAUUUUUGUAGUUAAGAGAUUUAGAAAAUUUUUUAUAUUAAAUAUUGCAAUAUUUAAUUUUAAACAUUUAAAGGAAUUUAGAUUUAGAAAUCUAUAUAAACAUUAACAAAAUUUGUGCCAGCAGUUGCGGUUAUACAAAUAAUGUAUUUUAUUAUUUUUGAUUUAUAAUUAUUUGAUUUUGUUUAUUAUACUUGUAAUUUAUUAGGUGAAAUUAUAAAUUAUAGUAAUGUAAAAUAAAAUUUUUAGAAGUUAUUAAAUUUUAUUUAAAACUAGGAUUAGAUACCCUAUUAUAAAAAUGUAAAUUUUAAAAAUUAAAGUAGUUUUAGUUAUAGUCUUUAAAGUUAAAAAAUUUGGCGGUACUUUAAUCUAUUCAGAGGAACUUGUCCUAUAAUUGAUAUUCCACGAUAAAAUUAACUUAUUUUAAUAAUUUAUAUAUCGUCGUAGUUGAAUAUUUUAUAAGAAUUUUUAAUAUUCAGGUAUUAAUUAUUAUAAUAUAAAUCAGAUCAUGAUGUAGUUUAUAGGUAAGAAGAGAUGAGUUACAAUAAAAAGGAUUUUUGGAUUUUAUUUUAAAAAGAUUAUUGAAAUUGGAUUUGAUUGUAAUUAUUUUAAUUUAAGAAUAAUGAUUUUAGUUCUAAAGUAUGCACAUAUUGCCCGUCGCUCUCAUUUAAAUUGAGAUAAGUCGUAACAAAGUAAAUGUACUGGAAAGUGUAUUUGGUUAA